rnacentral:rRNA from 1 species
UGGGGAAUUUUGGACAAUGGGCGAAAGCCUGAUCCAGCAAUGCCGCGUGUGUGAAGAAGGCCUUCGGGUUGUAAAGCACUUUUGUCCGGAAAGAAAUCCUUGGCUCUAAUACAGUCGGGGGAUGACGGUACCGGAAGAAUAAGCACCGGCUAACUACGUGCCAGCAGCCGCGGUAAUACGUAGGGUGCAAGCGUUAAUCGGAAUUACUGGGCGUAAAGCGUGCGCAGGCGGUUUGCUAAGACCGAUGUGAAAUCCCCGGGCUCAACCUGGGAACUGCAUUGGUGACUGGCAGGCUAGAGUAUGGCAGAGGGGGGUAGAAUUCCACGUGUAGCAGUGAAAUGCGUAGAGAUGUGGAGGAAUGCCGAUGGCGAAGGCAGCCCCCUGGGCCAAUACUGACGCUCAUGCACGAAAGCGUGGGGAGCAAACAGGAUUAGAUACCCUGGUAGUCCACGCCCUAAACGAUGUCAACUAGUUGUUGGGGAUUCAUUUCCUUAGUAACGUAGCUAACGCGUGAAGUUGACCGCCUGGGGAGUACGGUCG